GCGACGAAGGCCUUCGGGCUGGCAGAGCCGCGAACGGGUGAGUAACACGUGGGUAACCUGCCCCGAUGAUUGGGACAACCCGACGAAAGUCGGGCUAAUACCAAAUGUGCUUUUCAGUCUCAAGACUGAUUUGGAAAGGAAGCUUCGGCCUCCGCAUCGGGAUGGGCCCGCGGCGCAUUAGCUUGUUGGUGGGGUAACGGCCUACCAAGGCGACGAUGCGUAGCUGGUCUGAGAGGACGAUCAGCCACACUGGAACUGAGACACGGUCCAGACUCCUACGGGAGGCAGCAGUGGGGAAUCUUGCGCAAUGCGCGAAAGCGUGACGCAGCAACGCCGCGUGUGGGAAGACGGCCUUCGGGUUGUAAACCACUUUCAGUUGGGACGAAGGAUGGGUCGUUAAUAGCGGUUCCAUUUGACGGUACCUU
rnacentral:rRNA from 1 species